CAACAAACGAGGUCAAAUUGCAAAUUACCUGUGUAAGAAAAAUCAGUAUAUAAAUCUAAUGAAAUAAUACAUUAAAUUACUUUUAGGUGUAAAUCGUAUUAAAAUACAACAAUUUUAGAAGGGUGGUAUUUAUGUAUGUACGUACAUAGUACUUACAAAUAUCUUACUUUUCUAGUUUCAGUUAGAAUAAUUAAUAACUAAUUGUCAUGCAAUAUAAAUUCGGAUGGUUGAAAAUAAGAAAAAAGAAAGUUAUGUGUUAGUGGAGUCUACAAGUAAAAUAAUUCUUAUGAAGAUACAUGGCGGAACCGUAGAACUAUGUAUGUAUGUAUAUGUUGGUAUUCCCUGUGUUGCCAAGUUUUCCUCUACCUGCGUGUUCAAUUCUGAAAUGUAUUGUAUGGUGAUGUAUAUACACAAUGACAAAAUCGAUAGUGAUGAAUUUCUAAAACAAAAAAUUGUAUUUUUGUAAACUUUAUUCUAUUUCAAACUUUAUAAAUGCUAUUUCAAAUUUUAAUAUGAACAUUUUACUUACAUUGAA